rnacentral:rRNA from 1 species
UACGUAGGCAGCAAGCGUUGUUCGGAGUUACUGGGCGUAAAGAGCUCGUAGGCGGUCUGUCGCGUCGGCUGUGAAAACUCGGGGCUCAACCCCGAGCCUGCAGUCGAUACGGGCAGACUAGAGUGCUGUAGGGGAGACUGGAAUUCCUGGUGUAGCGGUGAAAUGCGCAGAAUAUCAGGAGGAACACCGGUGGCGAAGGCGGGUCUCGUGGG